GCAGAAGAACUUUGACAAGAUCCUGGCGGAAUGGAAGCAGAAGUACGAGGAAACGCAGGCUGAGCUGGAGGCCUCCCAGAAGGAGUCUCGCUCCCUCAGCACAGAGCUGUUCAAGAUGAAGAAUGCCUAUGAGGAGUCCCUGGACCACCUGGAAACGCUGAAGCGUGAGAACAAGAACUUGCAGCAGGAGAUUUCUGACCUUCACGGAGCAGAUUGCAGAGGGAGGAAAGGCAAUUCAUGAGCU